CCUGUGUCUCUGCAAAUAUCGCCGGGAAACUAGAAUCAAAGCUCCCAUUCAGCAGAGAACAGAGACAGAGAUAGAUAGCAAGAGAGAGAAAA